rnacentral:rRNA from 1 species
GAUGAACGCUAGCGGGAGGCCUAACACAUGCAAGCCGAGCGGUAUUUGUUGGUUAGCUUGCUAACUAACAAUGAGAGCGGCGUACGGGUGCGUAGCACGUGUGCAACCUGCCUUUAUCUGGGGGAUAGCCUUUCGAAAGGAAGAUUAAUACCCCAUAACAUAUUGAUUGGCAUCAGUUAAUAUUGAAAGCUCCGGCGGAUAGAGAUGGGCACGCGUAAGAUUAGCUAGUUGGUGAGGUAACGGCUCACCAAGGCUGCGAUCUUUAGGGGGCCUGAGAGGGUGAUCCCCCACACUGGUACUGAGACACGGACCAGACUCCUACGGGAGGCAGCAGUGAGGAAUAUUGGACAAUGGGUGAGAGCCUGAUCCAGCCAUCCCGCGUGAAGGACUAAGGACCUAUGGUUUGUAAACUUCUUUUAUACAGGGAUAAACCUACUCUCGUGAGGGUAGCUGAAGGUACUGUAUGAAUAAGCACCGGCUAACUCCGUG